AGCGACAUUUACACAGAGGCCUGAG
rnacentral:piRNA from 1 species